rnacentral:rRNA from 1 species
UGAAAGAGAUCCUGAAACCGUGUGCCUACAAAUAGUCAGAGCCCGUUAAUGGGUGAUGGUGUGCCUUUUGUAGAAUGAACCGGCGAGUUACGAUCCCGUGCGAGGUUAAGCUGAAGAGGCGGAGCCGCAGCGAAAGCGAGUCUGAAUAGGGCGUUUAGUACGUGGUCGUAGACCCGAAACCAGGUGAUCUACCCAUGUCCAGGGUGAAGUUCAGGUAACACUGAAUGGAGGCCCGAACCCACGCACGUUGAAAAGUGCGGGGAUGAGGUGUGGGUAGCGGAGAAAUUCCAAUCGAACCUGGAGAUAGCUGGUUCUCCCCGAAAUAGCUUUAGGGGC